rnacentral:rRNA from 1 species
GCGACCCCAGGUCAAGCGGGGC